rnacentral:rRNA from 1 species
GAUGAACGCUGGCGGCGUGCCUAAUACAUGCAAGUCGAGCGAACAGACGAGGAGCUUGCUCCUCUGAUGUUAGCGGCGGACGGGUGAGUAACACGUGGAUAACCUACCUAUAAGACUGGGAUAACUUCGGGAAACCGGAGCUAAUACCGGAUAACAUGUUGAACCGCAUGGUUCAACAGUGAAGGACGGUCUUGCUGUCACUUAUAGAUGGAUCCGCGCCGCAUUAGCUAGUUGGUAAGGUAACGGCUUACCAAGGCAACGAUGCGUAGCCGACCUGAGAGGGUGAUCGGCCACACUGGAACUGAGACACGGUCCAGACUCCUACGGGAGGCAGCAGUAGGGAAUCUUCCGCAAUGGGCGAAAGCCUGACGGAGCAACGCCGCGUGAGUGAAGAAGGUCUUCGGAUCGUAAAACUCUGUUAUUAGGGAAGAACAAAUGUGUAAGUAACUAUGCACGUCUUGACGGUACCUAAUCAGAAAGCCACGGCUAACUACGUG